AGAUUAUUGCAAAAAGGGCACGGGGCAGAGGGACUAUGUUGUGAGCCUGCGAAAGAAGUUUGUGUGGGCACUGUCAGCACCGGGAUGGGGCUCCCCUCCAUGGCGCCUCCUGGCCGGUCCUGCUGCGGCUCCCGGAGCCGGAGGGAAUCUGCAGCCUGCCGGGGGCCUCCACCAGCCUGGCUGCGCGCCGGGACUCCGCCUCGCGCCCGGGCCCCCUCUCCAGCAGGUCGGCGCCCUGCGCCCUGCACCCGCCCGCCUGGGGACCGCCCGCCCCUCCUCUCCGCGCGGCCGCUCGGCUGACUCUCUCGGCAGAGAUUGCUUCUGCCUUCCUGUAAAGUUUUCUCCCACCCACCUUCUCCGCUGCCAGACCGCCCGAGCUGCCCUCAGUUUCUCCCCAAGUUGGACUCACUUUCGGGGUGUCCCAAAAGCCUGAUUCCAGGGCCUGCUAGCCCGACCCCGGUGACGCCUCCACCCGCGCCUGGCCCCAGCCUUCACCCGCGAUCGCCGCCCUCCGGGGCACACCCUCCGCCAGAAAACAGCCGGCGGGCGGCGAGACUUUGGGCAGAGUCCGGGUUCCUCUCCGGCGCCCGGCCCGUCUCCCUGUCUCCCUGGGAGUGCGCAGCCUACACACACCAGUUUCUCUUUAGAACAAGGACGGGGAGGGAUUUGGGAGGGGGCUGAAACCUUUUGCCAUCAGCGAACAGCCUCAGCCAAAAAUAACCCUGGAAAGGCGAGCUAAGAAUGGUUAUCUCCUGCCAGCGCUGAAAUCGGAGGCUGGGCGCUGCGUGUGGGGUGUGUGUGUGUGUGUGUGUGUGUGUGUGUACCCUCCCACCCCGACCAUUUGUUGAAGGGAAUCACCACUGUCAGACUUCAAUCCAACAGGACCCACUCGAGCCAUCCACACUUUCCCCAGCCUCCUCCAAAACAGCACACUUUCCGGUAUGGACAAUUCUUUUUUUUUUUUUUUUUUUUUUUCACUUGUUUGUUUGUUGUGGUGGUUGCAACAGCAGCAACACAGACGACACAUAUUUCCCUAUUCUUCUCGCCCUUCUCACCCUCCCUACCCAGCUCCUGCCUUAGAAAUAGGCUUUCCUACACUGUAUCUGUCCACACUGUCUGAACUCUUCCUUGAAUUAAUCGUUUUCAAUAGGAGGGGGCUAAAUCCCUUAUUAAUGCCCUACCAGGAGUGAAUGAAUAAAGCCAAGUUAAAGGAGACCUGGGUACCAGAUACUGUGCUAGGUUCCUUUGCAUGUAUCCUUUCAUUCUGCUGGAGCUAAAGAUUUUCUGCCUCCUCUCCAUAAAACGCACCCAAACUCCAAAACCAGGAAAUUCUCCAUAGAAAAUAGGAGUGAAGAGAGAAAAGACUAACAGGAUAAAACCCAAAGCAGGAAGAAAGUUCUAUCUCCCAUUUCUCUCAAGGAAUUUUUGGACCCACCAAGGCUACUGUCCUGAAAUAUCCUGCUGCUUCUCCUUCCCCAAAUAUUGUCCACUUACUGAGAGUAAGGCUGACUUGCCGCAGGCUUAUAAAGUGUUUGGUCACAGUAAGACAACUGUGAGUAAUAACACACAUUGUAUACUGUUUUGCAAUUGAUUAAAGGCUUUGCAUCUGUUUUUUCUUUGGAGGCUGAAGAAAAGAAGAAUGGUAUUCAUGCAGUUCCCAUUUUACAGAUGAAAACAAGAGGACUUUUUCUGUGAAGUCAAGAAAGUGGUUACAAUGGUACUUUCAGCCUGUCCGAAUUAUGUAUUGCCCCUCCCCUUUUUAUUAAUAACAUUGAAGUGUGAUGGGACAACCACUGAAGCCGUCUGUUGAAACCUGCUGGGACUUUUUAGCCAUUCUCUUCAACAUAAAGAAUGGGUGUUUUUGGAGGGGGUGAGAGGAAUGGGGAAAUGUUGUCAAAGAGUACAAUGUUUUAGUUGAGACAGGAGGAAUAUAUUUUGUUGAGAUCUACAGCACAGCAUGGUGACUGUAGUUAACAAUGAAGUAUUGUGUAUUUCAAAAUUGCUAAGACAAUAAAUUUCAAAUGUUCUCACCACAAAAAAGAUAGGUUUUGAGGUGAUGAAUCU
rnacentral:lncRNA from 1 species